UACGAAGGGUGCAAGCGUUAAUCGGAAUUACUGGGCGUAAAGCGUGCGUAGGCGGUUUGUUAAGUCUGUUGUGAAAGCCCUGGGCUUAACUCAGGAAUUGCAUUGGAAACUGACGGACUCAGAGUAUCGGAGAGGGAAGCGGAAUUCCUGGUGUAGCGGUGAAAUGCGCAGAUAUCAGGAGGAACACCCGGUGGCGAAGGCGGCAUCCUGGACCGGCAUUGACGCUGAGGCGCG
rnacentral:rRNA from 1 species